rnacentral:rRNA from 1 species
AGUGAACGCUGGCGGUAGGCCUGACACAUGCAAGUCGAACGGCAGCACAGGAGAGCUUGCUCUCUGGGUGGCGAGUGGCGGACGGGUGAGGAAUACAUCGGAAUCUACUUUUUCGUGGGGGAUAACGUAGGGAAACUUACGCUAAUACCGCAUACGACCUACGGGUGAAAGCAGGGGAUCUUCGGACCUUGCGCGAUUGAAUGAGCCGAUGUCGGAUUAGCUAGUUGGGGGGGUAAAGGCCCACCAAGGCGACGAUCCGUAGCUGGUCUGAGAGGAUGAUCAGCGACACUGGAACUGAGACACGGUCCAGACGCCUACGGGAGGCAGCAGUGGGGAAUAUUGGACAAUGGGCGCAAGCCUGAUCCAGCCAUACCGCGUGGGUGAAGAAGGCCUUCGGGUUGUAAAGCCCUUUUGUUGGGAAAGAAAUCCAGCUGGUUAAUACCCGGUUGGGAUGACGGUACCCAAAGAAUAAGCACCGGCUAACUUCGUGCCAGCCGCCGCAGUAA